UACGUAGGGACCAAGCGUUUGUCCGGAAUCAUUGGGCGUAAAGCGCGCGUAGGUGGCCCCAUAAGUCCGCUGUGAAAGUCAAAGGCUCAACCUUUGAAAGCCGGUGGAUACUGUGGGACUAGAGUACGGAAGAGGCGAGUGGAAUUCCUGGUGUAGCGGUGGAAUGCGCAGAUAUCAGGAGGAACACCAAUAGCGAAGGCAGCUCGCUGGGACGUUACUGACACUGAGGCGCGAAAGCGUGGGGAGCGAACAGG
rnacentral:rRNA from 1 species